AACGAACGCUGGCGGCAUGCCUAACACAUGCAAGUCGAACGCGUGGAGCGAUCCACGAGUGGCGCACGGGUGAGUAACGCGUGGGAACCUGCCCUGGAGUGUGGGAUAACCCGGCGAAAGCCGGGCUAAUACCGCAUACGACCUGAGGGUGAAAGAUUUAUCGCUCUAGGAGGGGCCCGCGUCGGAUUAGCUAGUUGGUGAGGUAAUGGCUCACCAAGGCGAUGAUCCGUAGCUGGUCUGAGAGGAUGAUCAGCCACACUGGGACUGAGACACGGCCCAGACUCCUACGGGAGGCAGCAGUGGGGAAUAUUGGACAAUGGGGGCAACCUUGAUCCAGCAAUGCCGCGUGGGCGAUGAAGGCCUUCGGGUAGUAAAGCCCUUUUGCACGCGACGAUGAUGACGGUAGCGUGAGAAGAAGCCCCGGCUAACUUCGUGCCAGCCGCCGCGGUAA
rnacentral:rRNA from 1 species